rnacentral:rRNA from 1 species
AUUGAACGCUGGCGGCAGGCUUAACACAUGCAAGUCGAGCGGAGAGAGGUAGCUUGCUACUGAUCUUAGCGGCGGACGGGUGAGUAAUGCUUAGGAAUCUGCCUAUUAGUGGGGGACAACAUUUCGAAAGGAAUGCUAAUACCGCAUACGUCCUACGGGAGAAAGCAGGGGAUCUUCGGACCUUGCGCUAAUAGAUGAGCCUAAGUCGGAUUGGCUAGUUGGUGGGGUAAAGGCCUACCAAGGCGACGAUCUGUAGCGGGUCUGAGAGGAUGAUCCGCCACACAGGGACUGAGACACGGCCCAGACUCCUACGGGAGGCAGCAGUGGGGAAUAUUGGACAAUGGGCGGAAGCCUGAUCCAGCCAUGCCGCGUGUGUGAAGAAGGCCUUUUGGUUGUAAAGCACUUUAAGCGAGGAGGAGGCUCUUAAGGUUAAUACCCUUGAUGAGUGGACGUUACUCGCAGAAUAAGCACCGGCUAACUCUGUGCCAGCAGCCGCAGUAAUAC